UACGUAGGGGGCAAGCGUUGUCCGGAAUCAUUGGGCGUAAAGAGCGUGUAGGCGGCCUGGUAAGUCCGCUGUGAAAGUCCAGGGCUCAACCCUGGAAUGCCGGUGGAAACUGUCAGGCUCGAGUCCGGAAGAGGCGAGUGGAAUUCCUGGUGUAGCGGUGAAAUUCGUAGAUAUUAGGAAGAACACCAGUGGCGAAGGCGGCCACCUGGCUCGGUACUGACGCUCAGGUUCGAAAGCGUGGGGAGCAAACAGG
rnacentral:rRNA from 1 species